AUUGAACGCUUGCGGCAGGCCUACCACAUGCAAGUCGAGCGCGCGGCGGACGGGUGAUUAAUGUCUGGGAAACUGCCUGCUGGAGGGGGAUCACUACUGGAAACGGUAGCUCAUACCGCAUACCAUCAGAUGUGCCCCGAUGGGAUUAGCUAGUAGGUGGGGUAAUGGCUCACCUAGGCGACGAUCCCUAGCUGGUCUUAGAGGAUGACCGGCCAAACGGGAAAUGAGAAACGGUCCAGAAUCCUACGGUAGGCAGCAGUGGGGAAUAUUGCAAAAGGGGCGCAAGCCUGAUGCAGCCAUGCCGCGUGUGUGAAGAAGGCCUUCGGGUUGUAAAGCACUUUCGGCGAGGAGGCGUUACUCGCAGAAGAAGCACCGGCUAACUCCGUGCCAGCAGCCGCGGUAAUUC
rnacentral:rRNA from 1 species